rnacentral:lncRNA from 1 species
AAGCCUACGUGGUGCGCAGGCCGAGUAAUUAAUAAACUAACUACGUCAUUCGGUUAUGUUCAGGGUGUGCCAACUCAACGGCCAAGCUCGACCGAGGAGUAAAAUUUGUUGAUGUGGCGAUGAGCGCACUGCUGACUUCUUGAUCUUACGAUUGCGGCCAAGGAAGGAACACGUCUCGGCCUUCGGGUUCUAGAGCUGAUCGGAUCAUAUUUAUAUAUAUUUUUACUUCGAAUUCACUCGUCUUUUCUUAGUUAGUUCCUUACAUUUUUGAGCUAUUUACUAUGUUUUUGUAUUUUGUGUGAUUU